GUGGGGAAUCUUAGACAAUGGGGGAAACCCUGAUCUAGCCAUGCCGCGUGAGCGAUGAAGGCCUUAGGGUUGUAAAGCUCUUUCAGCUGGGAAGAUAAUGACGGUACCAGCAGAAGAAGCCCCGGCUAACUCCGUGCCAGCAGCCGCGGUAAUACGGAGGGGGCUAGCGUUGUUCGGAAUUACUGGGCGUAAAGCGCGCGUAGGCGGACCAGAAAGUUGGAUGUGAAAUCCCAGGGCUCAACCUUGGAACUGCCUUCAAAACUCCUGGUCUGGAGUUCGAGAGAGGUGAGUGGAAUUCCGAGUGUAGAGGUGAAAUUCGUAGAUAUUCGGAGGAACACCAGUGGCGAAGGCGGCUCACUGGCUCGAUACUGACGCUGAGGUGCGAAAGCGUGGGGAGCAAACAGGAUUAGAAACCCGGGUAGUCC
rnacentral:rRNA from 1 species